UGUCCUUGUUUGAAGACCAGAGAGGGCCCUGCACAUGGAGAAAGUAUAAAUCCGUCCGGAAAAUCUUUUCAGUGUGGUGACGAAAUAUGGCAGACUGCGUAGAUCAAGACUCCCACACCUCGAUAGAGUCUGUCAUAAACUUCCCGUCUGUAACCACAUAAAACCAUCAGUAAAUUUAUAUCUGGACACCACAUCGAGAGACCCAUUCAGUGGGUCAUUGUAUUAGUUUGGAGUUAAUUCCCCAGACAACGGCUGGCUGAGGACUAAGGACCUGCAUAGUGUCACUGAGUGAUGUUGGUUUAGGAUAAUUUGUACCAGUUACAGGAAAUCCCACCUAGUCCAGAUGACAACACUUCUGGCUCUGUCCCCACUGAUGAUGUCACUUCCUCUGCUGUAAAGCUUCCAUCUUUGUGCUAUCAAACAAGGAUACAAUAAUCAAGAAAAAAUAUUAUAUAUAACCACAAUUGUGGAUGAAGUGAGCUUCUUCUGCAUCCCCGAUGAUAUAUGCAAAUAUGAGAAAAAAAAGUUGCCUUUCUUUAUGAGCAUGGAAGGAUUUAUGAAGCAUUGUACUUGGCCAAGUUAUUUGAAAAUAUUGAGAAAACAUUGCACGUGAGUGGGUCACAUGUUUUAAUUGAUUUUUGCACUGCUGCAGGACAGGUUUCUCUCUAAAGAACUAUGUAUUAUUUUUAGAAAGAAGACAACUGAGGAAGCUACGCACAGGAAAAGCUGUGGGACCAGAUACAGUCAGUUCUCGAGGUAUUAAGGCCUGUGCUGGCCUUUGUGAUGUCCUCUAUCACCUGUUCAGUCUGUCCCUAAGACUCCAGAAACUGCUGCUGCCAUGGAAAACAUCCUGCCUUGUUCCUGUUCCUAAGAAGGCAGGCCUCUUCACCUGAUGACUGCAGACCAGUGGCACUUAUGUCUCACAUCAUGAAGAUCUUUGUGAGACUGGUCCCGUGACUAUACAAUUCCUCUUGUACUAGACCACCUUGAGCCACUAUAGUUUGACUAUUGGACAAAAAUUGGAGUGGAGGAUGCAAUUAUCUCUCUGCUCCACAAGGCUUAUUCUCGCCUGGAAAAAGCUGGUAGCACUAUGAGGAUUUUGUUUUUUGCUGGUGGAAGAGCCUAUGAUGUCCAGGAUAAUGGACUUAUGUUGGGCAGACCAUAGUUUGUGAGAGUCAGGGACUGUGUUUCUGAUACAGAUGUGAGCAACACUAAGGUGCCACAAGGAACAACCCUGUCUCCUUUUUUCUUCACUCUGUAAACAUUAAACAUAACACCAGGUCAUGUCACUUGCAGAAAUUCUCAGAUGCUGCUGCACUUAUGGGGUGUACUGAUAAGUGGGAUGAGAUAGAGUAGAAGAGUCAGGUGGAGAACUUUGCUUCUUGGUGCAAAAAGAACUGUCUGCAACUUAACAUCAGCAAAACCAAGGAA